GAUGAACGCUAGCGGCAGGCCUAAUACAUGCAAGUCGAACGGUAAGGCUCCUUCGGGAGUACACGAGUGGCGCACGGGUGCGUUACGCGUAUGCAACCUACCUUUCAGGCGGGGGAUAUCCGUGGGGAAACUCAGAGCAAUACCCCAUAUGCACACACUGUAGCAUUACAGAGUGUGGAAAACUCCGGUGCUGAGAGAUGGGCAUGCGUGACAUUAGCUAGUUGGUGGGGUAACGGCUCACCAAGGCUACGAUGUCUAGCUGGUCUGAGAGGAUGAUCAGCCACACUGGAACUGAGACACGGUCCAGACUCCUACGGGAGCAGCAGUAGGGAAUAUUGGACAAUGGCGAAAGCCUGAUCAGCCAUGCCGCGUGGAGGAAGACGGCCUCUGGGUUGUAAACUCCUUUAGCAGGGGAUAAACCUGUACUAUAUGUACAGCUGAAGGUACCUGCAGAAUAAGCACCGGCUAACC
rnacentral:rRNA from 1 species